rnacentral:rRNA from 1 species
GUAAUGCCGGAUGCUCCAGUUGAUCGCAUGGUCUUCUGGGAAAGCUUUCGCGGUAUGGGAUGGGGUCGCGUCCUAUCAGCUUGACGGCGGGGUAACGGCCCACCGUGGCUUCGACGGGUAGCCGGCCUGAGAGGGCGACCGGCCACAUUGGGACUGAGAUACGGCCCAGACUCCUACGGGAGGCAGCAGUGGGGAAUAUUGCACAAUGGGCGCAAGCCUGAUGCAGCGACGCCGCGUGAGGGAUGGAGGCCUUCGGGUUGUAAACCUCUUUUAUCGGGGAGCAAGCGAGAGUGAGUUUACCCGUUGAAUAAGCACCGGCUAACUACGUGCCAGCAGCCGCGGUAAUACGUAGGGUGCAAGCGUUAUCCGGAAUUAUUGGGCGUAAAGGGCUCGUAGGCGGUUCGUCGCGUCCGGUGUGAAAGUCCAUCGCUUAACGGUGGAUCCGCGCCGGGUACGGGCGGGCUUGAGUGCGGUAGGGGAGACUGGAAUUCCCGGUGUAACGGUGGAAUGUGUAGAUAUCGGAAAGAAAC